AUUGAACGCUGGCGGCAUGCUUUACACAUGCAAGUCGAACGGCAGCACGGGGGCAACCCUGGUGGCGAGUGGCGAACGGGUGAGUAAUGUAUCGGAACGUACCUUUUAGUGGGGGAUAACGUAGCGAAAGUUACGCUAAUACCGCAUAUUCUCUGAGGAGGAAAGCAGGGGACCUUCGGGCCUUGCGCUAAUAGAGCGGCUGAUAUCCGAUUAGCUAGUUGGUGGGGUAAAGGCUCACCAAGGCGACGAUCUGUAGCGGGUCUGAGAGGAUGAUCCGCCACACUGGAACUGAGACACGGUCCAGACUCCUACGGGAGGCAGCAGUGGGGAAUUUUGGACAAUGGGGGCAACCCUGAUCCAGCCAUGCCGCGUGAGUGAAGAAGGCCUUCGGGUUGUAAAGCUCUUUCGGCCGGGAAAAAAUCGCAUGGGUUAAUACCCUGUGUGGAUGACGGUACCGGAAUAAGAAGCACCGGCUAACUACGUGCCAGCCGCCGCAGUAACAC
rnacentral:rRNA from 1 species